ACUCAAAUGAAUAGACGGGGGCCCGCACAAGCGGUGGAACAUGUGGUUCAAUUCGACGCAACGCGAAGAACCUUACCUGGGCUUGAACCGCACAGGACCAGCUUGAGAAAUCAGGCCUUCCCGCAAGGGACCUGUGUAGAGGUGCUGCAUGGCUGUCGUCAGCUCGUGCCGUGAGGUGUUGGGUUAAGUCCCGCAACGAGCGCAACCCUUACUCGUAGUUGCCACCCGCAAGGGGGAACUCUACGAGGACUGCUCCGGAUAACGGAGAGGAAGGUGGGGAUGAGGUCAAGUCAGCAUGGCCUUUAUGUCCAGGGCUACACACGUGUUACAAUGCGCGCCACAAAGCGUCGCGAACCCGCGAGGGGGAGCUAAUCGCAAAAAAGCGCGCUCAGUUCGGAUUGCAGUCUGCAACUCGACUGCAUGAAGCUGGAAUCGCUAGUAAUGGCGUAUCAGAUCGGCGCCGUGAAUACGUUCCCGGGCCUUGUACACACCGCCCGU
rnacentral:rRNA from 1 species